rnacentral:rRNA from 1 species
GAUUAACGCUGGCGGCGUGCAUAACACAUGCAAGUCGAACGAAGUGGCGGACGGGUGAGUAACGCGUGAGUAACCUGCCUUAGAGAUGGGGAUAGCCUCUGGAAACGGAGAAUAAUACCCAAUGCUCUAAGAUGGACUUGCGUUUGAUUAGCUAGUUGGUGAGAUAAUAGCUCACCAAGGCAACGAUCAGUAGCCGGCGUGGUGGAGAGGAGGGACACAGUGGGACUGAGACACGGCCCAGACUCUACAGGAGGCAGCAGUGGGGAAUUUUGCACAAUGGGGGAAAUCCUAAUGCGGCGAGGCCGGGUUAUUUAGAAGGCCUUAGGAUUGUAAAAAUCUCUUGUAUAGGAAGUAGUACUAUACGAUUAAGGACCGGCUCAUGACGUGCCAGCAGUCGCAGUAAUAC